CGGAGGAUAGCCAUUGUAAACGAUGGCUAAUACCGCAUGAUGCCUACGGGCCAAAGAGGGGGACCUUCGGGCCUCUCGCGUCAGGAUAUGCCUAGGUGGGAUUAGCUAGUUGGUGAGGUAAGGGCUCACCAAGGCGACGAUCCCUAGCUGGUCUGAGAGGAUGAUCAGCCACACUGGAACUGAGACACGGUCCAGACUCCUACGGGAGGCAGCAGUGGGGAAUAUUGCACAAUGGGCGCAAGCCUGAUGCAGCCAUGCCGCGUGUGUGAAAAAGGCCUUCGGGUUGUAAAGCACUUUCAG
rnacentral:rRNA from 1 species